rnacentral:rRNA from 1 species
GACGAACCGUGCGAACGUUGUUCGGAAUCACUGGGCUUAAAGGGCGCGUAGGCGGGCGAUCAAGUCAGAGGGGAAAUCCCACGGCUCAACCGUGGAAGUGCCCCUGAUACUGGUUGUCUCGAGGGAGAUAGGGGCGUGCGGAACUUUUGGUGGAGCGGUGAAAUGCGUAGAUAUCAAAAGGAACACCGGUGGCGAAAGCGGCGCGCUGGAUCUCUACUGACGCUGAGGCGCGAAAGCCAGGGGAGCAAACGGG